rnacentral:rRNA from 1 species
AGCGAACGCUGGCGGCAGGCCUAACACAUGCAAGUCGAACGAUCCUUCGGGAUAGUGGCGGACGGGUGAGUAACACGUGGGAACGUGCCCUUUGGUUCGGAAUAACUCAGGGAAACUUGAGCUAAUACCGGAUGUGCCCUUCGGGGGAAAGAUUUAUCGCCAUUGGAGCGGCCCGCGUUGGAUUAGCUAGUUGGUGGGGUAAAGGCCCACCAAGGCUACGAUCCAUAGCUGGUCUGAGAGGAUGAUCAGCCACACUGGGACUGAGACACGGCCCAGACUCCUACGGGAGGCAGCAGUGGGGAAUCUUGCGCAAUGGGCGAAAGCCUGACGCAGCCAUGCCGCGUGAAGGAUGAAGGUCUUAGGAUUGUAAAAUUCUUUCACCGGGGACGAUAAUGACGGUACCCGGAGAAGAAGCCCCGGCUAACUUCGUGCCAGCAGCCGCGGUAA